GACGAACGCUGGCGGCGUGCUUAACACAUGCAAGUCGAGCGGUAAGGCCCUUUCGGGGGUACACGAGCGGCGAACGGGUGAGUAACACGUGGGUGACCUGCCCUCAGCUCUGGGACUAAGCCUGGGGAAACUGGGUCUAAUACUGGAUAUGACUCCACGGUGCAUGUCGUGGGGUGGAAAGCCUUGUGCGGCUGAGGAUGGGCCCGCGGGCCUAUCAGCUUGUUGGUGGGGUGANGGGCCUACCAAGGCGACGACGGGUAGCCGGCCUGAGAGGGGCGACCGGCCACACUGGGACUGAGACACGGCCCAGACUCUACGGGAGGCAGCAGUGGGGAAUCUUGCGCAAUGGGCGAAAGCCUGACGCAGCG
rnacentral:rRNA from 1 species